rnacentral:rRNA from 1 species
GAUGAACGCUGGCGGCGUGCCUAAUACAUGCAAGUCGAGCGAACGGACGAGAAGCUUGCUUCUCUGAUGUUAGCGGCGGACGGGUGAGUAACACGUGGAUAACCUACCUAUAAGACUGGGAUAACUUCGGGAAACCGUAGCUAAUACCGGAUAAUAUUUUGAACCGCAUGGUUCAAAAGUGAAAGACGGUCUUGCUGUCACUAAUAGAUGGAUCCGCGCUGCAUUAGCUAGUUGGUAAGGUAACGGCUUACCAAGGCAACUAUGCAUAGCCGACCUGAGAGGGUGAUCGGCCACAUUGGAACUGGGACACGGUCCAGACUCCUACGGGAGGCAGCAGUCGGGAAUCUUCCGCAGUGGGCGAAAGCCUGACGGAGCAACGCCGCGUGAGUGAUGAAGGUCUUCGGAUCGUAAAACUCUGUUAUUAGGGAAGAACAUAUGUGUAAGUAACUGUACACAUCUUGACGGUACCUAAUCAGAAAGCCACGGCUAACUACGUG